AAGGAAUGUAUUAUAACAAAAAGAAC
rnacentral:tRNA from 1 species